GGAUACGGUUCAACCCACAAAAGAUGGCAAAUAGCUUUUCUAUCGAUGUGACCCUGGUGGGUUCUGAGGAUUGAUGGAUGUUGUCUUGCCAUGGGCUCAGCAGGAAGAAGUGGCCACACAUAUUGCUGUCUGUGCACCUGCAACAAAUCCAUCUCCUGUCUAUUAAGGCUGACAUAGCCUCUGUGGCCCAUGGGCUCCAGCAGGUGGAGCAGAGAUGCUCUCACCUUGGUCACUGGUUCCUGGCUCCUAGGGCAGGUACCCUGGAAGAGUGUCUCAGCGCUGCUGCUGUUCUUCACCAUCCUGAAGCUAGGCAUCACCUUCUUGUCUACCUUCCUGGGCUUCCAUGCCACCUUCUGCUGCACCAGCUGUACCUGAACCCAGCUCAGGAAGUUCCCACGGCCACAGCAGCCACUCCCAGGAUCCACCCACGCAGGCGUCACAGCCCCCAGCCUCGGCCUGCACUCGAGGCAUCUGCUGCUCCUGGGAGCUGAGCUCCUCCCGGCAUCUGACCUCUGGGGCUCUGUGAUCUUCCCCUUCUGCUGGCUGCAGGGUUGGCCCUCCCUUUGUAACACCCAGCCCCAGAGAUCACUAUCCCUACCCCUCAUACAUGCCCCAG
rnacentral:lncRNA from 1 species